AGCGAACGCUGGCGGCAGGCCUAACACAUGCAAGUCGAACGGACCCUUCGGGGUUAGUGGCGGACGGGUGAGUAACACGUGGGAACGUGCCUUUUGGUUCGGAAUAGCUCCUGGAAACGGGUGGUAAUGCCGAAUGUGCCCUUUGGGGGAAAGAUUUAUCGCCAUUAGAGCGGCCCGCGUCUGAUUAGCUAGUUGGUGAGGUAAAGGCUCACCAAGGCGACGAUCAGUAGCUGGUCUGAGAGGAUGACCAGCCACAUUGGGACUGAGACACGGCCCAAACUCCUACGGGAGGCAGCAGUGGGGAAUCUUGCGCAAUGGGCGAAAGCCUGACGCAGCCAUGCCGCGUGAAUGACGAAGGUCUUAGGAUUGUAAAAUUCUUUCACCGGGGACGAUAAUGACGGUACCCGGAGAAGAAGCCCCGGCUAACUUCGUGCCAGCAGCCGCAGUAAUAC
rnacentral:rRNA from 1 species